rnacentral:misc_RNA from 1 species
UUAAGUUCAGCGGGUAUCCCUACCUGAUCCGAGGUCAAACGUUGAAAAAGUGGCUUCAUGGACGCGGACCGCUGCUGGAAGAAGCGCAAAUUUGUGCUGCGCUCCGAAACCAGUAGGCCGGCUGCCAAUGAUUUUAAGGCGAGUCGCUGGCGGACCAGAGACAAAAACGCCCAACACCAAGCAAAGCUUGAGGGUACAAA